UACGUAGGGUGCGAGCGUUAAUCGGAAUUACUGGGCGUAAAGCGUGCGCAGGCGGUUCGUUGUGUCGGCGGUGAAAGCCCCGGGCUUAACCUGGGAAUGGCCGUUGAAACUGGCGAACUGGAGUGUGGCAGAGGGGGGUGGAACUCCGCGUGUAGCAGUGAAAUGCGUAGAGAUGCGGAGGAACACCGAUGGCGAAGGCAGCCCCCUGGGCUGACACUGACGCUCAGGCACGAAAGCGUGGGGAGCAAACAGG
rnacentral:rRNA from 1 species